rnacentral:rRNA from 1 species
AUUGAACGCUGGCGGAAUGCUUUACACAUGCAAGUCGAACGGUAGAGGGGGCAACCCCUCGAGAGUGGCGAACGGGUGAGUAAUAUAUCGGAACGUGCCCAGUCGUGGGGGAUAACGUAGCGCAAGUUACGCUAAUACCGCAUACGAUCUAAGGAUGAAAGCGGGGGAUCGCAAGACCUCGCGCAAUUGGAGCGGCCGAUAUCAGAUUAGGUAGUUGGUGGGGUAAAGGCUCACCAAGCAAACGAUCUGUAGCUGGUCUGAGAGGACGACCAGCCACACUGGAACUGAGACACGGUCCAGACGCCUACGGGAGGCAGCAGUGGGGAAUUUUGGAAAAUGGACGCAAGUCUGACCCAGCCAUUCCGCGUGCAGGAUGAAGGCCCUCGGGUUGUAAACUGCUUUUGUACGGAACGAAAAGGUCUCUCUUAAUACGGGGGGCUCAUGACGGUACCGUAAGAAUAAGCACCGGCUAACUACGUGCCAGCCGCCGCCGUAA